rnacentral:rRNA from 1 species
GCGUUAUCCGGAUUUACUGGGUGUAAAGGGAGCGUAGACGGAUUAGCAAGUCUGAUGUGAAAGGCAGGGGCUCAACCCCUGGACUGCAUUGGAAACUGCCAGUCUUGAGUGCCGGAGAGGUAAGCGGAAUUCCUAAUGUAUCGGUGAAAUGCGUAG